CCACCUCGUAGGCGGCUCUGGCCAGGCCUGCACGGCCUGCGUUACGAGGCUGUGGCUGCAGCGCGAUCCCGGCUCUCCCCGGAAGGAAGUUCUUCCUAGGGGGCAGACAGCGGCCCUGCCUGUCCCAUUCAGGGCACCUCAGGUUUGGGAGUGGGGAGACAGAGGGCUUAGGGGGCACAGCCUCAGAGCCGAGCGUCUGCGGAGAUAGCGGAAGCCCUCGUGGGCCCCCGGAUGAAGACACCAGGAGCUAUGCUCUGGGGGGCAGGACGGGGCCGGGCAGGUGCCCUGUGACCCGCUGCGCCUCUUGCUAGAUUUAGGACACUGUCGCUCCCCUCCCCAGCCUGGAUCUGAGCUAUUUCCAAAGCCAGGAAUGCUUGUCCUUGCAGGAGGCCCUGGGGCAGAGAGGGUGUCAAGGCCCGGGGAGGCUGUGAGGAGAGGACCCCCAAACCCCAAGGCAUAUUGGAGAGGCCAGGGCAAGGGGCACCUGGCGUGGCAGCUCCCUGAGGCAGGAGGGGGAGACCCACAGAGGGUCUGUAACACACACCCUGGUGCAUGUGCUGUAGGAAGGGCUGGCUAUGUGGGAGGGAUCAAAACGUACAGAAAGUAUUUGCAUUUAAAAAUUGUUACCCUGAAAGUCACACUGCCGUUUAUCCUCAGAGUACUCCCCAUUGCUGCAAACACACUUGUACCCCCAUUCUUGCCACUUUCUGAAACAGUUCUGGAAGUCUUCUUUUGCAUCUUCACAAGAUCUGGCACCAUGUGGCUUCCAGCUCUUCCCCACUGUCAGAAUGACCAGGAAAAGGAAACGUUUUGAAUCCAUUCAGGACAUGGAGGCAGCCAGGACAGCGCAACUAAAGACACUCGGGAAAGAGGGCUCCAGAGCUGCUGCAGGAAGCGGCCAGGACGGUGGGAGGAGCGUGUGUGAGGUGAGGGGAGGGCUUUCAGGGGGAUUCAUGGUGAUGUGUCCUCUCCUAUAAUAUAGAUUAAAUAUUCAGGGUGUAGUUUCCAAUCACACCUCGUUUAUGGGAACUUGUGCCUGUGCCUGCCCUGGUGAAGUAAACUACACCCCACCCAGAACCCUCUCCCUGCCUGGCACAGCUGUGGCACACGGGCACUGUGAGCUGCCCAAGGCCAAGGAGCUUGGGGCAGAGCGGCCUCCUCCUCCAGCGUGCCCGGUGGGUGGUGAGUGGCUGCACAUGCGUCCCACACAGCAUCCGCUCAGGGUCUGAAGGACUGGACCUGCAGCCUGGGCACCGCUGGGCCCCUUUUUAUCUUAUGGGGUCUCGUACAGAGCAACGAAGAGAGCACACAGCUGGAGAAAGAUUCCCUUCCCUCUGGUCACUGGGUGAGUGUGCAGAGGAUGGGACUGGCGGUCGGAUAUUGUGACAGGAAAGCGACUGAGACUCGUGCUGUGUGGCCCAGCCUUCCAGCCCUGUGGAAGUGGGGGAGCGAGGUUGUACAGGAAGGUCCUACCGUGCUCCGCCUGUGGUUGGUCCCUUCAAAAGCCACCUGACCCCCUCUCUGCCUCCCGGCCGCCAUGAGGUGAGCAGCUUCCCCUCCCCACCCCCAGGCCCUUCCACUCUGCCUUUCCUGCCUUGGGGCCAGGAGCUAAAAUAAACCUCUCCUUUUUCAUUUCUAUUUGUUAUUUAUCUUUGAGACAGGGUCUCACUAUGCAGUUGAGGCUGGGCUUGAACUCACUAUAUAGCCCAGGCUGGCCUCAAACUCACAGCAAUCCUCCUGCCUCAGCCUCCCGCUUGCUGUGAUGACCGGCAUGUGCCACCAAAUUUGGUGCCUGGUUCCUCCUUCUAAAAAGCCACACGGGGCCCUUGGUAGCCAGUGGGGUGUCCCCAGGAUGGGUUCCACGUGACUUUGGCCUGUUUUCUCCAGAAGGCUCUGGAGGAACUGGCAGAGCAGGCUCUGUCUCUCUGGGGCUCAGUGGAAGUCAGGGUCUAGGUGGGGGGCUUGACCCUGUCUAUGAGUGGGGACACUGAGGUGCACAGGGCUGGGCUCUUCUUUCGUCUUGGGUCUGCUCCUUCUGUU
rnacentral:lncRNA from 1 species